rnacentral:rRNA from 1 species
CCUACGGGGAGCAGCAGUGGGGAAUAUUGGACAAUGGGCGAAAGCCUGAUCCAGCCAUGCCGCGUGUGUGAAGAAUGCCUUCGGGUUGUAAAGCACUUUCAGUGGGGAAGAAAGCCUUGGGGCUAAUACCCUCGAGGAAGGACAUCACCCACAGAAGAAGCACCGGCUAACUCCGUGCCAGCAGCCGCGGUAAUACGGAGGGUGCGAGCGUUAAUCGGAAUUACUGGGCGUAAAGCGCGCGUAGGCGGUCUGAUAAGCCGGUUGUGAAAGCCCCGGGCUCAACCUGGGAACGGCAUCCGGAACUGUCAGGCUAGAGUGCAGGAGAGGAAGGUAGAAUUCCCGGUGUAGCGGUGAAAUGCGUAGAGAUCGGGAGGAAUACCAGUGGCGAAGGCGGCCUUCUGGACUGACACUGACGCUGAGGUGCGAAAGCGUGGGUAGCAAACAGGAUUAGAUACCCGAGUAGUC